UACGUAGGGGGCAAGCGUUGUCCGGAUUUAUUGGGCGUAAAGCGCUCGCAGGUGGUUCGUCGCGUCGUGCGUGAAAGACCCCGGCUCAACUGGGGAGGGUCGUGCGAUACGGGCGGACUGGAGGCCAGUAGGGGGAUGCGGAAUUCCGGGUGUAGUGGUGGAAUGCGUAGAGAUCCGGAGGAACACCAGCGGCGAAGGCGGCAUCCUGGACUGGUCCUGACACUCAUGAGCGAAAGCGUGGGGAGCGAGUCCGG
rnacentral:rRNA from 1 species